AGCCCCGUAGCUCAACCAGCAGAGCUCCCGACUUUGACUCGGAAGGUGGCGGUGCGAAUCCGCCCGGGGCCGCCA
rnacentral:tRNA from 1 species